AUUGAACGCUGGCGGCAGGCCUAACACAUGCAAGUCGAGCGAGCGGCGGACGGGUGAGUAAUGUCUGGGAAACUGCCUGAUGGAGGGGGAUAACUACUGGAAACGGUAGCUAAUACCGCACACCAUCAGAUGUGCCCAGAUGGGAUUAGCUAGUAGGUGGGGGAACGGAUCACCAAGGCGACGCUCCCUAGCUGGUCUGAGAGGAUGACCAGCCACACUGGAACUGAGACACGGUCCAGACUCCUACGGGAGGCAGCAGUGGGGAAUAUUGCACAAUGGGCGCAAGCCUGAUGCAGCCAUGCCGCGUGUGUGAAGAAGGCCUUCGGGUUGUAAAGCACUUUCAGCGAGGAGGCGUUACUCGCAGAAGAAGCACCGGCUAACUCCGUGCCAGCAGCCGCGGUAAUAC
rnacentral:rRNA from 1 species